rnacentral:rRNA from 1 species
GACGAACGCUGGCGGCGUGCCUAACACAUGCAAGUCGAGCGGAGAAAGUUCUUCGGAACUUUCUCAGCGGCGGACGGGUGAGUAACACGUGGGUAACCUGCCUUAUAGAGGGGGAUAGCCUCCCGAAAGGAAGAUUAAUACCGCAUAACAUUUUCGUUUCGCAUGAAAUGAAAAUCAAAGGAGCAAUCCGCUAUAAGAUGGACCCGCGGCGCAUUAGCUAGUUGGUGAGGUAAUGGCUCACCAAGGCGACGAUGCGUAGCGGACCUGAGAGGGUGAUCGGCCACAUUGGAACUGGGAUACGGUCCAGACUCCUACGGGAGGCAGCAGUGGGGAAGAUUGCACACUGGGGGAAACCCUGAUGCAGCAACGCCGCGUGAGUGAUGAAGGCCUUAGGGUUGUAAAGCUCUGUCUUUGGGGACGAUAAUGACGGUACCCAAGGAGGAAGCCACGGCUAACUACUUGCCAGCCGCCGCAGUAA